rnacentral:rRNA from 1 species
GACGAACCGUGCGAACGUUGUUCGGAAUCACUGGGUUUAAAGGGCGCGUAGGCGGGCUGUCAAGUCGGUGGUGAAAUCUUUCGGCUCAACCGGAAAAUUGCCUUCGAUACUGGCGGCCUGGAGGGAGGUAGGGGCAUGCGGAACUUCCGGUGGAGCGGUGAAAUGCGUAGAUAUCGGAAGGAACACCGAUGGCGAAAGCAGCGUGCUGGACCUUUUCUGGCGCUGAGGCGCGAAAGCCAGGGGAGCAAACGGG